rnacentral:tRNA from 1 species
AAGAUUUUAAGUUAUACUUAAACUAAAGGACCCAUGCUCCUUUUAAGCUCAGGCAGAUCUUA